rnacentral:rRNA from 1 species
GACGAACGCUGGCGGCGUGCCUAAUACAUGCAAGUAGAACGAGUUUCGAACGGGUGAGUAACGCGUAGGUAAAUCCCUAUUAGAGGGGGAUAACUACUGGAAACGGUAGCUAAUACCGCAUACCAUCGGGUGUGCCCAGAUGGGACUAGCUGGUAGGUGGGGUAACGGCGCACCUAGGCCACGAUGCCUAGCUGGUCUGAGAGGAUGACCAGCCACACUGGAACUGAGACACGGUCCAGACUCCUACGGGAGGCAGCAGUGGGGAAUAUUGGACAAUGGGCGCAAGCCUGAUGCAGCAAUGCCGCGUGUAUGAAGAAGGCCUUCGGGUUGUAAAGCACUUUCAGCGAGGAGGCGUUACUCGAAGAAGAAGCACCGGCUAACUCCGUGCCAGCAGCCGCGGUAAUAC